UACGUAGGUGGCGAGCGUUAUCCGGAAUGAUUGGGCGUAAAGGGUGCGUAGGCGGCCUGCUAAGUCUGGAGUGAAAGGUACCGGCUCAACCGGUACAGGCUCUGGAAACUGGCGGGCUAGAGAGCAGGAGAGGGCGGUGGAACUCCAUGUGUAGCGGUGGAAUGCGUAGAUAUAUGGAAGAACACCAGUGGCGAAGGCGGCUGUCUGGUCUGCAACUGACGCUGAGGCUCGAAAGCAUGGGUAGCGAACAGG
rnacentral:rRNA from 1 species